rnacentral:lncRNA from 1 species
GUUCACAAGGAGUAGGCUGAGUCCACCAGCGUGGAGCCCUCUGCGGGGGAGCCCAGCUCCUGGUCGUCCCCCUCCUCUCUCGCUCUCUCGCCAGCCCAAGGACUUCUCCCACUCAGCUCCAUGCCCCCUGCUUUGGGGAACCAGGGCGGACAGCAUAAAGAAGUUUGCCCCAAACAGGGCCACGGCUUUGGGGGCGGGUGUUCUGGACGCCGCAGUGCCAGUUGCUGGGCAGACGUGAUGAGCAGCGCAGAGAACCAAUCAGAGCGUUCUCCUCUGGGCAUUUCCAAAAGCAAAGCUGGCUGUUCCCUAUGGCAACGCUGAACAACACGCUCAUACCGUUUCUGGACAAAGAAAUUUCUCUCAGGAAUUUGUGUGGCCUGACAUAGCCAGUUUGCUGCAUUUUAGGGAGACAUGCAUGCAGAUCUCGAUAUGACUCACCCAAGUGCAACCGCCCAGAAAGCCGCUCCCAUCUGUUGUCCUAAGAGGAAAGGCAUUCAUUGACUGGUGUUAGGGGCUUCAGGCCUGGAAACAGGUGUCAUCAGGCCCCGCCCAGCGCCUCAAAUGACAGCUCUUGGAGCAGAAGCCACCUGCCCCUGUGGGUCUGAUGUGGGCUGAAGUGAGCUGACCAUUCGCCCACUAAAACACAUUAAUACUGCCAAAGGAGGGACACUGGGCAAAAUUAUAGUUAUGGUAAGGGCUCCCAGCAAGUUCCCAAAGCUGUUGAAUACAUGACACACACAUACCCACCACAUACACAUCAAUACUGAAUCCCGGCAGGUAAUGUGCUCUGACAUUUCUGUUCUAUUUGGUUUUUUAAAUGAUUUUAAUUACUUAUGUAUUCUGAGUGUGUGUGUGUGUGUGUGUGUGUGUGUGUGUGUGUGUACUGUGCACACGCAUGUAGCACGUGCAUGCACGUGCCAUAACACAAAGUGUAAAGGUCAGAAGACAGCGGGCCUUGUGGUGCUCACCUAUAAUCUCAGCACUCAGGAGGCAGAGGUCUGCAUGCCUCUGUCUCCCAAGUGCUGGGAUUAAAGGCAUAUGCCAUCACUGCCUACCUAUAAUCUUUUGUUUCUGUCUUUGCUAACAUAUUCUGGGAUAGCUUGCCUGCCAGCUUCCAGUCAGUUCUCCC